CUCAUACCUCUGCCACCAGGUGGCUCAGGUCACUGCUCAAAAGGAUUUGGUGACAGGCAUCCGUCUUGCCAAUAUCCCUUCUUAUAAUGUAAGAAUGAAUGUAAGAAUGAAGAAUGCUGCCUUAUCUGUCAAUGGGUCCCCUCUUACCUGGAGUCGUUUUCCUGGAGGGAAAGACGUUCCUCCCUGAAACGCAAGACCUCUUGCUGCUUCUCCCUCAAGUCUUCCAAAAGCUGCUGCCUUUCCACCUUCUGGUGCUCCAG
rnacentral:lncRNA from 1 species